GUUGGGGAUCCUUCCUACUUUGUACUAGUGUUACUUCACAUUCGGUAUAGAGUGGAAACCCAGCUCCAGAAAAUAAUUCUUGAUUUACAAAGAAGGAUUUGAUCAAAUUCAUUUCAAGAAAUGAAGACGUCAACUUUGGGAGGGAUUUUUCUCCUCAUAUUUUGCAUUAUUGCUUCUCAACCCACCGUUUCUGGGCAGGAUUGCUUCGAAGCUUGGAGUCGUUGCACGGGUUGGAGCAGUGGAGGAACGGGAAUUUUGUGGAAGAGUUGUGCAGGCCGGUGUCGAUUAUGCCAGGGACGUGCCACAGGGGCAUGUGUUCCUGUGAAUGGGCCGUGUGGAGCAAGGUCACAAUGCCAAUGCUCAGGUGGGAAUGUUCCUAAAAGUACCAAUUAUUUGGAUAGGAUUACCUGUCGAUUUGGUCUGUAGGAUGUGUCUAACCGUUUGCUCCGGUUUAAAUUGGUUUUAUGAAACAAUAAAGAAGGAAAGGUUAGCCUUAACGAAGGUGUGGAAUAGUUUUGUAAAAAAAAUGCGAAAAGCUCAAAAAUUUAUGUACGUUGCAAUUGUUCAUUUAUGUAAUUUGAACGUUAAUAUUUAUUUUGAACAAAUUUUUAUUGAAAUUUUGUAAAACUCAAAAAAAGCAUGAAAAGAUUUGUUUGAACGUUUCGAAUUUGGUAAAAUUUCAAAAUUCGGAUUUACGGUAACAACCAAAUUAUCAAAUAAUCUGAAUGAAAUUAUUGUAAUUUCGUAUUAAAUAAAAUAUUUGCAUUUUUGUG